rnacentral:rRNA from 1 species
CUGGCGGCAGGCCUAACACAUGCAAGUCGAGCGGUAGAGAGAAGCUUGCUUCUCUUGAGAGCGGCGGACGGGUGAGUAAUGCCUAGGAAUCUGCCUGGUAGUGGGGGAUAACGUUCGGAAACGGACGCUAAUACCGCAUACGGCCUACGGGAGAAAGCAGGGGACCUUCGGGCCUUGCGCUAUCAGAUGAGCCUAGGUCGGAUUAGCUAGUUGGUGAGGUAAUGGCUCACCAAGGCGACGAUCCGUAACUGGUCUGAGAGGAUGAUCAGUCACACUGGAACUGAGACACGGUCCAGACUCCUACGGGAGGCAGCAGUGGGGAAUAUUGGACAAUGGGCGAAAGCCUGAUCCAGCCAUGCUGCGUGUGUGAAGAAGGUCUUCGGAUUGUAAAGCACUUUAAGUUGGGAGGAAGGGUUGUAGAUUAAUACUCUGCAAUUUUGACGUUACCGACAGAAUAAGCACCGGCUAACUCUGUGCCAGCAGCCGCGGUAAUACAGAGGGUGCAAGCGUUAACCGGAAUUACUGGGCGUAAAGCGCGCGUAGGUGGUUUGUUAAGUUGGAUGUGAAAUCCCCGGGCUCAACCUGGGAACUGCAUUCAAAACUGACUGACUAGAGUAUGGUAGAGGGUGGUGGAAUUUCCUGUGUAGCGGUGAAAUGCGUAGAUAUAGGAAGGAACACCAGUGGCGAAGGCGACCACCUGGACUAAUACUGACACUGAGGUGCGAAAGCGUGGGGAGCAAACAGGAUUAGAUACCCUGGUAGUCC